GCCCGGGUGGAGAAAUGGUAACCUCAAGGGAUUUAAAAUCCCUCGGACUCUAAUACAGUCCUUGCCGGUUCAAGUCCGGCCCCGGGCACCA
rnacentral:tRNA from 1 species